rnacentral:rRNA from 1 species
CCUACGGGUGGCAGCAGUAGGGAAUCUUCCACAAUGGACGAAAGUCUGAUGGAGCAACGCCGCGUGAGUGAAGAAGGGUUUCGGCUCGUAAAGCUCUGUUGGCAGUGAAGAAAGAUAGAGGUAGUAACUGGCCUCUAUUUGACGGUAAUUACUUAGAAAGUCACGGCUAACUACGUGCCAGCAGCCGCGGUAAUACGUAGGUGGCAAGCGUUGUCCGGAUUUAUUGGGCGUAAAGCGAGUGCAGGCGGUUCAAUAAGUCUGAUGUGAAAGCCUUCGGCUCAACCGGAGAAUUGCAUCAGAAACUGUUGAACUAGAGUGCAGAAGAGGAGAGUGGAACUCCAUGUGUAGCGGUGGAAUGCGUAGAUAUAUGGAAGAACACCAGUGGCGAAGGCAGCUCUCUGGUCUGCAACUGACGCUGAGGCUCGAAAGUGUGGGUAUCAAACAGGAUUAGAUACCCGGGUAGUC